UGCAUAUUGUCACGCUAGAACCAUUCACCUGCAUGGGGGAAUUUUAAAAGAGACAGAAGAAAGAAAAACAGAAUGUCUAGGACAUUCCAGAUGGGUUUGGCGGCAUUGAAACAGUUCCCCCUCGGUGCGGUCGGAGAAAACAAAAACGAAGGGUCGGUCAGCAUAGAUAACCAUUACGGACACCAUUAUACAAGCUCCAGGAGCCUGAUGAGAGUAGUCCAAACCUAGAGCAAGUUGGCUAACCCUGCAUGAGCGUCAUGUUUAACCCCAGAUCGAUGACACGGACCGUUCAUGUACUUCUCACAUCAGACGAUCCCUGAAGAAUGGGCACUAACUGACGUCACAACUAGAACGUCACUUCAGGGCUCCUCGGACUCCAAAGUACACCGUCUUAACUGACAGCUCUUCAAACUGAAAGGAAAGAAAACAGGAACGUCUACAUGUAGUGUACUCUAGACCACGAAGACAUUAUUUCUCUUCAGCUGAUCACAGUUCAGUAAACAGCAUUUUCAGAGUAUCGGGCUCGUUUUGCUUGUUAUAUACUGUGUGCUGUGGUCUCUCUUUAGGGGACACUAUCGGGAAAUGCAGGGGACAUCUGUCUUGUGAAAUUUCAUAAUGGUGAUCGGACCAACGAUGGACUAACUGAGACACUUCCCCUCCCGUCAGCAGCUCUUCUGUGUUGUCUAAGUUCUAACCCCCUCACCCCACUCCACCCCAAGGCUCGAGUGCAUGAAUUCACCCAAGACCCUGUAUUUCUGAGCAGAUUGGCACAAGCAAGGAGUUUUUAAUACAGGAAAGCAUUUCUUCCCACAUUUUUGACGGAUUAUAUUAUACACGCUUCAAAUUUGGUUUAAUGCAAAGGUUAAUUAGUAUAGUCUGUGGUGUUCUUUAGGCACAGUACACGUUUUUUGAAAAAUUGUAUUGUGAGUGGCUGUACACAGUAUUUCUGUAUGUUUGUUUGUGUUCGUUAUUUGUGCCAAAACACAGUUUUUCAUCGCAAGGUAUCAGGAGGAAGUAAUAUAUAAAAUAUUGAAAAUAAGUUAUACACAAUGAGCUUGACAUCAUAAUAUACAUGUAUUUCUCUGGGUAUUAGUAUUUCACAAUUAGUUUUCCCGAAGUUUUCAUGAGUCAUAUCCGGUGUUUUGUUACACAUUUCAGACAAGUUGAGGAGGAAAUAAAAGUCUAAAAUAAACGUGAAAUAACAACACUGAGUAGAA